CUUAUACAUUCAAAUAUCUGAUAUUAUCGUAUAAAGCGUAGUUUUAUUUUUCUUUAUUCGAUUUGUAUACACUCAAAGAAUUUCAAAAUGGAAUAGCAAAAAAAAAAGAAGAAAUAUCCUUUAUUCGCGGAAACAACGAGAGUCUGAUUUGAGAAUGUCGCGUGCCUGCACGUUCCUCAGGUGUGUACGCUAAACAUAAGAGACGUAUCGCUACGCACAAGACUCGAAUAAUCUACCAACUGUAAGAUUAUUAUUCCCUUUUUUCUUCGUCUCGUUGUAUCUUUCUUUGCCAAAUCUCGUUUUACUCAGAGAUGUUUUAUUUAAGCGCGAUCUACCUUCCUGACCCAAGAACAAUAGAAUGACUUUCUGAAAUUGAAAUUCGAAUCACGUUUCCGGAUAACAUUACAACGUCAGCCAUUCAACGCGAAACUGAAGAAUCGAAUUCCAGCGCAAAAUUUAAUUAUCCUUAAAACCCUAUGGAUACGUUGAAAAUUCAGAAAGAGCAGAUGUCGUCGACGGGGAAAACGAGAUUUUGUAGCAGGUGUAGAUCGGACGACAGGUGAACGUGGCACGAUUCUUGAUUAUCUCGAAACGACGUGAAGAGAAGGCGUUAAAUCGAAAAGUCAUUGCUGCGGCUUCUUGAUAUAUCAUCGAAUAUUAUGUAUAUUAUAUAUCGUAUAUACAUGUAUAUAUCUAGAUUUUUAUGAAGACUCGAGGGUUGCUUAGAGUUAAUAUCUUAUGACGGAAACCCGAGAAAGGGAUGAAGUCCGACAAAUUCACGUCCUUUUUUUUCAAGUCGAGACGUCUGGCUGGAGCUCUAUAAGAAUUAAUGAUGUUAUACUAUCGAUCCAAACGAUACGGAGAAAUAGAUUAGUUAAUUUAAAAAAUAAACAAAAACAAAAAACAAAUAAAAGCAAAAUAAACAAAAGGAGACUUGUCUCUUUGAUUAUUAUGCUUUAUACGUUCAUAUCUUUAUACACUUUGGGUUUUCCCAGGACAAAGCGAUUUCCGAGUUGAUAUCAUGACUUCUGGUAAAUAAGCUGCGUAGAAGACAACGAACGAUCUCGCUGAAUACUAAAAGGCUCCCCUUGGCUCGUCCAUGAGAACAGUGCGUGGUUGAGCUUCUCGAAAAUAUUCUUCAUGUUAGGAAUACGAGUAUCUUCUUCGUCAGUCUUUUUCAGUAUUUUUUCAUUCAAAGUUAACUAGAAUCAUAAUGGAGAAUAUGACCAUGUGAUAUUUAACUAAUUAUUAAC